CGGCCCUGCGCACGGGGGGGAUACAGAGUCACAGGGCAGCCCUAUGCCUCUCUGCCACCCUCGUGCCCUGCCCUGCGGCUCCAUGCGGCACCGGGGCUUGGCCCAUGGCAUCCACACCCCCCGCGCAGCCCCGGGACACGAGAACACAAGCACUGCGAUUGACUGGGUCAGACCCUAGCCUCCAGCAUUUAAAGUCUAGGAAGUUUCCUACAAGAACGUGUCCAAUGCCUCGGUGAAUCUGGCUAAAGUCUCAGCUUCCCCCAGACCCGGUGGCCCCGAGUUCAUGCUUUAAUCUCACACUGGGUGAGAAAAGACUUCCUGGUGCUCAACUGACUGCCUCCUAGUUUCAUGCGGUGAGCCCUGGUUCUUGUCUGGUGAGACACAGGCAAUAAUAAAUCCCUAUCGACUUUCUCGUGGCCAAUAA